rnacentral:rRNA from 1 species
GUGGGGAAUAUUGGACAAUGGGCGAAAGCCUGAUCCAGCCAUGCCGCGUGUGUGAAGAAGGUCUUCGGAUUGUAAAGCACUUUAAGUUGGGAGGAAGGGCAGUAAGUUAAUACCUUGCUGUUUUGACGUUACCAACAGAAUAAGCACCGGCUAACUUCGUGCCAGCAGCCGCGGUAAUACGAAGGGUGCAAGCGUUAAUCGGAAUUACUGGGCGUCAAGCGCGCGUAGGUGGUUUUGUAAGUUGGAGGUGAAAUCCCCGGGCUCAACCUGGGAACUGCCUCCAAAACUGCAUGACUAGAGUACGGUAGAGGGUAGUGGAAUUUCCUGUGUAGCGGUGAAAUGCGUAGAUAUAGGAAGGAACACCAGUGGCGAAGGCGACUACCUGGACUGAUACUGACACUGAGGUGCGAAAGCGUGGGGAGCAAACAGGAUUAGAUACCCUUGUAGUCC